rnacentral:rRNA from 1 species
GAUGAACGCUGGCGGCGUGCCUAAUACAUGCAAGUCGAGCGAACGGACGAGAAGCUUGCUUCUCUGAUGUUAGCGGCGGACGGGUGAGUAACACGUGGAUAACCUACCUAUAAGACUGGGAUAACUUCGGGAAACCGGAGCUAAUACCGGAUAAUAUUUUGAACCGCAUGGUUCAAAAGUGAAAGACGGUCUUGCUGUCACUUAUAGAUGGAUCCGCGCUGCAUUAGCUAGUUGGUAAGGUAACGGCUUACCAAGGCAACGAUGCAUAGCCGACCUGAGAGAGUGAUCGGCCACACUGGAACUGAGACACGUUCCAGACUCCUACGGGAGGCAGCAGUAGGGAAUCUUCCGCAAGGGGCGAAAGCCUGACGGAGCAACGCCGCGUGAGUGAUGAAGGUCUUCGGAUCGUAAAACUCUGUUAUUAGGGAAGAACAUAUGUGUAAGUAACUGUGCACAUCUUGACGGUACCUAAUCAGAAAGCCACGGCUAACUACGUG